GGGCCUGUAGCUCAGUUGGGAGAGCACCUGGUUUGCAACCAGGGGGUCAGGGGUUCGAACCCCCUCAGGUCCACCA
rnacentral:tRNA from 1 species